UUAAGCGACUAAGCGUACACGGUGGAUGCCUAGGCAGUCAGAGGCGAUGAAGGGCGUGCUAAUCUGCGAAAAGCGUCGGUAAGCUGAUAUGAAGCGUUAUAACCGACGAUACCCGAAUGGGGAAACCCAGUGCAAUACGUUGCACUAUCGUUAGAUGAAUACAUAGUCUAACGAGGCGAACCGGGGGAACUGAAACAUCUAAGUACCCCGAGGAAAAGAAAUCAACCGAGAUUCCCCCAGUAGCGGCGAGCGAACGGGGAGGAGCCCAGAGUCUGAAUCAGUUUGUGUGUUAGUGGAAGCGUCUGGAAAGUCGCACGGUACAGGGUGAUAGUCCCGUACACCAAAAUGCACAGGCUGUGAACUCGAUGAGUAGGGCGGGACACGUGACAUCCUGUCUGAAUAUGGGGGGACCAUCCUCCAAGGCUAAAUACUCCUGACUGACCGAUAGUGAACCAGUACCGUGAGGGAAAGGCGAAAAGAACCCCGGCGAGGGGAGUGAAAUAGAACCUGAAACCGUGUACGUACAAGCAGUGGGAGCACCUUCGUGGUGUGACUGCGUACCUUUUGUAUAAUGGGUCAGCGACUUAUAUUUUGUAGCAAGGUUAACCGAAUAGGGGAGCCGUAGGGAAACCGAGUCUUAACUGGGCGUCUAGUUGCAAGGUAUAGACCCGAAACCCGGUGAUCUAGCCAUGGGCAGGUUGAAGGUUGGGUAACACUAACUGGAGGACCGAACCGACUAAUGUUGAAAAAUUAGCGGAUGACUUGUGGCUGGGGGUGAAAGGCCAAUCAAACCGGGAGAUAGCUGGUUCUCCCCGAAAGCUAUUUAGGUAGCGCCUCGUGAACUCAUCUUCGGGGGUAGAGCACUGUUUCGGCUAGGGGGCCAUCCCGGCUUACCAAACCGAUGCAAACUCCGAAUACCGAAGAAUGUUAUCACGGGAGACACACGGCGGGUGCUAACGUCCGUCGUGAAGAGGGAAACAACCCAGACCGCCAGCUAAGGUCCCAAAGUCAUGGUUAAGUGGGAAACGAUGUGGGAAGGCACAGACAGCCAGGAUGUUGGCUUAGAAGCAGCCAUCAUUUAAAGAAAGCGUAAUAGCUCACUGGUCGAGUCGGCCUGCGCGGAAGAUGUAACGGGGCUAAACCAUGCACCGAAGCUGCGGCAGCGACACUUAGGUGUUGUUGGGUAGGGGAGCGUUCUGUAAGCCGUUGAAGGUGACCUGUGAGGGUUGCUGGAGGUAUCAGAAGUGCGAAUGCUGACAUAAGUAACGAUAAUGCGGGUGAAAAACCCGCACGCCGGAAGACCAAGGGUUCCUGUCCAACGUUAAUCGGGGCAGGGUGAGUCGACCCCUAAGGCGAGGCUGAAAAGCGUAGUCGAUGGGAAACAGGUUAAUAUUCCUGUACUUGGUGUUACUGCGAAGGGGGACGGAGAAGGCUAGGCUGGCCGGGCGACGGUUGUCCCGGUUUAAGCGUGUAGGGGAGUGACCAGGUAAAUCCGGUUGCUUAUCAACCCUGAGGCGUGAUGACGAUGCACCACGGUGCAGAAGCAGUUGAUGCCAUGCUUCCAGGAAAAGCCUCUAAGCAUCAGGUAACAUUAAGUCGUACCCCAAACCGACACAGGUGGUCAGGUAGAGAAUACUCAGGCGCUUGAGAGAACUCGGGUGAAGGAACUAGGCAAAAUGGUGCCGUAACUUCGGGAGAAGGCACGCUGGCGUUAGGUGAAAGGACUAGCUCCUGGAGCUGAAGCCAGUCGCAGAUACCAGCUGGCUGCAACUGUUUAAUAAAAACACAGCACUGUGCAAACACGAAAGUGGACGUAUACGGUGUGACGCCUGCCCGGUGCUGGAAGGUUAAUUGAUGGGGUCAGCCGCAAGGGGAAGCUCUUGAUCGAAGCCCCAGUAAACGGCGGCCGUAACUAUAACGGUCCUAAGGUAGCGAAAUUCCUUGUCGGGUAAGUUCCGACCUGCACGAAUGGCGUAAUGAUGGCCAGGCUGUCUCCACCCGAGACUCAGUGAAAUUGAACUCGCUGUGAAGAUGCAGUGUACCCGCGGCAAGACGGAAAGACCCCGUGAACCUUUACUAUAGCUUGACACUGAACAUUGAGCCUUGAUGUGUAGGAUAGGUGGGAGGCCUUGAAGUGUGGACGCCAGUCUGCAUGGAGCCAACCUUGAAAUACCACCCUUUAAUGUUUGAUGUUCUAACUCGGCCCCAUGAUCUGGGGUGAGGACAGUGUCUGGUGGGUAGUUUGACUGGGGCGGUCUCCUCCCAAAGAGUAACGGAGGAGCACGAAGGUUAGCUAAUCACGGUCGGACAUCGUGAGGUUAGUGCAAAGGCAUAAGCUAGCUUGACUGCGAGAGUGACGGCUCGAGCAGGUACGAAAGUAGGUCUUAGUGAUCCGGUGGUUCUGAAUGGAAGGGCCAUCGCUCAACGGAUAAAAGGUACUCCGGGGAUAACAGGCUGAUACCGCCCAAGAGUUCAUAUCGACGGCGGUGUUUGGCACCUCGAUGUCGGCUCAUCACAUCCUGGGGCUGAAGUAGGUCCCAAGGGUAUGGCUGUUCGCCAUUUAAAGUGGUACGCGAGCUGGGUUUAGAACGUCGUGAGACAGUUCGGUCCCUAUCUGCCGUGGGCGUUGGAAGAUUGAGAGGGGCUGCUCCUAGUACGAGAGGACCGGAGUGGACGAAUCACUGGUGUUCGGGUUGUCAUGCCAAUGGCAUUGCCCGGUAGCUAAAUUCGGAAGAGAUAACCGCUGAAAGCAUCUAAGCGGGAAACUUGCCUCGAGAUGAGUCUUCCCUGGGGCUUAAAGCCCCCUGAAGGAACGUUAAAGACUAUGACGUUGAUAGGCUGGGUGUGUAAGUGCAGCGAUGUAUUGAGCUAACCAGUACUAAUGAUCCGUGAGGCUUAACCUU
rnacentral:rRNA from 1 species